rnacentral:lncRNA from 1 species
GCAAAUAAGUUCAUAGGUGGAUGGAUAGUGGGACAUAUAUGUCUUUGUUUAAUUUCUUCAACCAUAUGGCCCAUUCAAUGUCAUAUAUCCACCACAAAUUUUCUCCAUUCAUAUCUCCACUCUUCAACUAUAUAUAUGUGCUUAAUUACUCUCUUCUUGAGUAUUCAAAUAACAAAAUAAAUACAACUUCAUUUUCUAUAUUCUUGAUUCAUAACUUGUUCACACAACAAAGUUUGAAGUAUAAAAAAGAAUUAAUAUGGCUGCUACUGCUAGUGCAUUUUCGAUGAAGGGCUCGAAGGUUCGAUCAUUAGGACGAUAUAGUUCGAAGCAAAUUCGGCAGCAAAGGGGAAGGCUUUACAUAAUAUGGAGAUGUACUGUUUUACUAUUGUGUUGGAAUGAUUAAAAUUAGUAAGUAUUGAAGAGUUCUGUAUUUCAAGAAGAAUUUGGGUUUUCAACUAACACAUAAUCAAGAGAGGGAGAUGAAUAUUAAUUUGAGAAUUUUAUUGUUUGUAAUUUUAGUUGUACACACGGGAACUUUGGGGUGUGAAAUUAUUAACACUCAAAAGUGAUGUAGUUUUUGACUUGUUACUAGGUAGGUAAAUAAAAUAAUUUUUAGGAGCUAGAUUAAACAGGAGUUUCUGCUUGAAAUGUAAAUUACAUUAAUCUAGCACUCUACCAUGUAUAAAGAUAGUGAUGAUAAUAAUAUAUUUCAAGUUGAAUUUUAUCAACAACUUUGGCUUAUGUUUCAUUUUUGUUUAUACCAUAUGGAGAGGGGGGGAGGGUUAAUUUGGACUUUAUUAGAGUGAAAUAUUACAUUCCUACAGCU